UACGAAGGGGGCUAGCGUUGCUCGGAAUUACUGGGCGUAAAGCGCACGUAGGCGGCUUUCUAAGUCGGGGGUGAAAUCCUGGAGCUCAACUCCAGAACUGCCUUCGAUACUGGAAAGCUCGAGUCCGGGAGAGGUGAGUGGAACUGCGAGUGUAGAGGUGAAAUUCGUAGAUAUUCGCAAGAACACCAGUGGCGAAGGCGGCUCACUGGCCCGUAACUGACGCUGAGGUGCGAAAGCGUGGGGAGCAAACAGG
rnacentral:rRNA from 1 species